AAAGUUGAAGAGUCUAAUCAGGAACUUUUAGCUUCUAUAAAAAUACUUUCCUUGUAAUAUUAUAGGUAAUCCUCAUUUGGCAUCUGUAAUUAGGACUGGCACAUGAUUAUUAAGUGAAGCAGUGCUAAGGGAAAGCUCACCUGACUGAAACUGUGCUACAAUUUUACUCCAGUUGUCCUUUGCUUGUACAGUGUCAUAAGGAUAUGACCCCAAAGAGUCAGGUUCCUAGCUGAGUAUCAUGAUGACUUCUUUCCAGAGACAGCUUAUGUAGCAGCCUGCGAGGCCUAUUAUACCACCAAAAAUCCACGU
rnacentral:lncRNA from 1 species